AGGACGAACGCUGGCGGCGUGCUUAACACAUGCAAGUCGAACGAGGCGCUUGCGCCUAGUGGCGAACGGGUGAGUAACACGUGAGCAACCUGCCCUUGGCUCUGGGAUAGCCUCCGGAAACGGGGAUUAAUACCGGACAUGACCUUCUCCUGCAUGGGGGGAGGGUGGAAAGUUUUUCGGCCAGGGAGGGGCUCGCGGCCUAUCAGCUUGUUGGGGGGGUAACGGCCCACCAAGGCGACGACGGGUAGCCGGCCUGAGAGGGCGACCGGCCACACUGGGGACUGAGACACGGCCCAGACUCCUACGGGAGGCAGCAGUGGGGAAUAUGCACAAUGGGGGAAACCCUGAUGCAGCGACGCCGCGUGCGGGAUGAAGGCCUUCGGGUUGUAAAGCUCGUUUGGCGGGGACGAUGAUGACGGUACCCGCAGAAUAAGCCCCGGCUAACUUCGCGCCAGCAGCCGC
rnacentral:rRNA from 1 species